GUAGGAGUGAGCCUGCUCGCGAUGGCGGUGUGUCAGACAGCAUUAAUGUCGACUGACACGGCCUCAUCGCGAGCAGGCUCACUCCUAC
rnacentral:antisense_RNA from 2 species